GAGGGUAUAGCUCAGUGGUAGAGCACUUGCUUAGCAUGCACGAGGUCCUGGAUUCAAUCCCCAGUACUUUAU
rnacentral:tRNA from 1 species